rnacentral:rRNA from 1 species
UACGUAGGUGGCAAGCGUUGUCCGGAAUUACUGGGUGUAAAGCGCGUGUAGGCGGCAGACCAAGUCGGCGGUGAAAGCGCCCGGCUCAACUGGGCGAGGUCCGUGGAAACUGGUCAGCUGGAGGACGGUAGAGGCGAGUGGAAAUUCCCGGUGUAGUGGUGAAAUGCGUAGAGAUCGGGAGGAACACCUGUGGCGAAGGCGGCUCGCUGGGC